CGUGUGGAGUUGCGUUUCGGACGCUGGUUGAGGUGGUGGACGUGAUGGACGAGCGGAUGAAAUUUGCCUUCCUUGCUCCCCGAACUUUUUUGGGAACCGGGAUUUAGACUCAGCAGGUGGAAGGAAUUCUGGACCUGAUUUGCCAGCUUCGGUAUUAGCGGUAUUCCAGCACAAAGAUGUCCUGUCAACAUCUUUUCUAUCAUGACCUGAUGACUUCCCCGUCAUCUUAUCUCAACUGUGAGUGAGAAAGUCUGGGUGUUAAAGAGGGUUUUUCUCCCUCCAAGAUCCUGUGGAAUGAGAAGUUGGCGUUCUGCUGGGGUUUGUAUUGGGAACCGAAGAAAAGCCAUCCUGACAACACGAACAUUCAGGAAAAAUACAUUCUUGGGGAUUUAAG